UGCAGGCUGCAACUCGCCUGUAUGAAGUCGGAAUUGCUAGUAACCGCGGAUCAGCAUGCCGCGGUGAAUACGUUCCCGGGCCUUGUACACACCGCCCGUCACACCAUGAGAGCCGGGAACACCCGAAGUCCGUAGUCUAACCGCAAGGAGGACGCGGCCGAAGGUGGGUUCGAUAAUUGGGGUGAAGUCGUAACAAGGUAAC
rnacentral:rRNA from 1 species